rnacentral:rRNA from 1 species
AUUGAACGCUGGCGGCAUGCCUUACACAUGCAAGUCGAACGGUAACAGGUCUUCGGAUGCUGACGAGUGGCGAACGGGUGAGUAAUACAUCGGAACGUGCCCAGACGUGGGGGAUAACGAGGCGAAAGCUUUGCUAAUACCGCAUACGAUCUAAGGAUGAAAGCAGGGGACCGCAAGGCCUUGCGCGUUUGGAGCGGCCGAUGGCAGAUUAGGUAGUUGGUGGGAUAAAAGCUUACCAGGCCGACGAUCUGUAGCUGGUCUGAGAGGACGACCAGCCACACUGGAACUGAGACACGGCCCAGACUCCUACGGGAGGCAGCAGUAGGGAAUUUUGGGCAAUGGGCGAAAGCCUGAUCCAGCAAUGCCGCGUGCAGGAUGAAGGCCUUCGGAUUGUAAACUGCUUUUAUACGGAACGAAAAGGCUCUGGCUAAUACCUGCGGCACAUGACGGUACCGUAUGAAUAAGCACCGGCUAACUACGUG